rnacentral:SRP_RNA from 1 species
UUUGGAGGCCAAUCAGGUGAAAGUGCCAUGAACUCCCCCAGGUUUGAAAAAGAGCAAGGGUAAUGAGUAAUAUUCAGGUUGGUUGGUCUCCUUUAUA